AUACGUAGGUGGCAAGCGUUGUCCGGAAUUAUUGGGCGUAAAGCGCGCGCAGGCGGUCCUUUAAGUCUGAUGUGAAAGCCCACGGCUCAACCGUGGAGGGUCAUUGGAAACUGGAGGACUUGAGUGCAGAAGAGGAAAGUGGAAUUCCAAGUGUAGCGGUGAAAUGCGUAGAGAUUUGGAGGAACACCAGUGGCGAAGGCGACUUUCUGGUCUGUAACGGACGCUGAGGCGCGAAAGCGUGGGGAGCAAACAGGAUUAGAUACCCUGGUAGUCCACGCCGUAAACGAUGAGUGCUAAGUGUUAGGGGGUUUCCGCCCCUUAGUGCUGCAGCUAACGCAUUAAGCACUCCGCCUGGGGAGUACGGUCGCAAGACUGAAACUCAAAGGAAUUGACGGGG
rnacentral:rRNA from 1 species